rnacentral:rRNA from 1 species
CCUACGGGAGGCAGCAGUGAGGAAUAUUGGUCAAUGGGCGAAAGCCUGAACCAGCCAAGCCGCGUGAAGGAUGAAGGCUCUAUGGUUUGUAAACUUCUUUUAUAUGGGGAUAAAGUGAGGAGCGAGUACCUUUUUGUAUGUACGUUAUGAAUAAGCAUCGGCUAACUCCGUGCCAGCAGCCGCGGUAAUACGGAGGAUGCGAGCGUUAUCCGGAUUUAUUGGGUUUAAAGGGUGCGUAGGUGGUCAAUUAAGUCAGCGGUGAAAGUUUGUGGCUCAACCAGAACAUUGCCGUUGAAACUGGUUGACUUGAGUAUAUUUGAGGUAGGCGGAAUGCGUGGUGUAGCGGUGAAAUGCAUAGAGAUCACGCAGAACUCCGAUUGCGAAGGCAGCUUACUAGACGAGAACUGACGCUGAGGCACGAAAGCGUGGGGAUCAAACAGGAUUAGAUACCCCGGUAGUC